GCAAUGGUGGUUCAGGGGUAGAAUUCUUGCCUUCCAUGCAGAAGACCCAGGUUCGAUUCCUGGCCAAGUGUA
rnacentral:tRNA from 1 species